rnacentral:rRNA from 1 species
AUCAACGCUGGCGGCGUGUCCUAACACAUGCAAGUCGAACGAGAAAGUGGAGCAAUCUCAUGAGUACAGUGGCGCACGGGUGAGUAACACGUGACUAACCUACCUUCGAGCGGGGAAUAACCUCGGGAAACCGUGGGCUAAUACCGCAUAACAUCAUCGGGGUGAAAUUCCUGCUGAUUCAAAAGUUUUUUGCUUGAAGAGGGGGUCGCGGCUGAUUAGCUAGUUGGUGGGGUAACGGCCCACCAAGGCGAUGAUCAGUAGCCGGCCUGCACGAGGGGCGCACGGCCACACUAUGGAACUGAAAACACGGUCCAGACUCCUACGGGAGGCAGCAGUGGGAGAAUUUUGCGCAAUGGGGGAAACCCUGACGCAGCAUACGCCGGUCGUGGAGGAUGAAGUCCCUUGGGACGUAAACUCCUUUCGAUCGGGUAAGAAUAAUGACGGGGUACCGUGGAAGAAGAAGCCCCGGCUAACUUCGUGCCAGCAGCCUGCGGUAAUACGAGGGGGGCAAGCGUUGUUCGGAAUUAUUGGGCGUAAAGGGCGCGUAGGCGGUGCGGAAAGUACUUCAGUGAAAUCUCUGGGCUCAACUCAGAGUCUGCUGGGGAUACUCCCGUGCUUGAGUGUGGGAGAGGUGAGUGGAAUUCCCGGUGUAGCGGUGAAAUGCGUAGAUAUCAGGGAGGAACACCUGUGGACGAAAGCGGCUCACAUGGACCACAACUGACGCUGAUGCGCGAAAGCUAGGGGAGUACAAACAAGGAUUAGAUACCCUGGUAGUCCUAGCCCUAAACGAUGAUCGCUUUGGUGUGACAGGUACCCAAUCCUGUCGUGCCGAAGCUACCGCGAUAAGCGAUCCGCCUGGGGAGUACGGUCGCAAGGCUGAAACUCAAAGGGAAUUGACCGGGGGCCCGCACAAGCGGUGGAGCAUGUGGUUCAAUUCGACGCAACGCGAAGAACCUUACCUGGGCUCGAAAUGCAGUGGACCGGAGUAGAAGAUAUUCUUUUCCGCAAGGACCCGCUGCAUAGGUGCUGCAUGGCUGUCGUCAGCUCGUGUCGUGAGAUGUUGGGUUAAGUCCCGCAACGAGCGCAACCCUUAUUGCCAGUUGCCAUCAUUUAGUUGGGCACUCUGGCGAAACUGCCCCGGAUAACGGGGAGGAAGGUGGGGAUGACGUCAAGUCCUCAUGGCCUUUAUGUCCAGGGCUACACACGUGCUACAAUGGCCGGUACAAACCGUCGCAAACCCGUGAGGGGGAGCUAAUCGGAAAAAGCCGGCCUCAGUUCGGAUUGGAGUCUGCAACUCGACUCCAUGGAGCUGGAAUCGCUAGUAAUCGCGGAUCAGCACGCCGCGGUGAAUACGUUCCCGGGCCUUGUACACACCGCCCGUCACAUCACGAAAGUGGGCUGUACUAGAAGUCGGUGGGGCCAACCGCAAGGAGGCAGCCCGCCCAAGGUAUAGUUCAUGAUUGGGGUG